GGUCAAUCCAAUGCAUCCUGACCUGCACUGUCUCUACAAUCAAACCUUUUCUUCCAACCUGUGGUUCAUAUCAUCCUUCCUUGGGUGCAGACCUUUCAACUUCAGGACUGAAGGAGACAGCCAGAAAUCCGGAGGGGAGGAGGAGAGGGAGAGAGACAGAGAAACACCUGCAACCACUUGUGAAGCUUCCACCCUGCAGUUUAAAGUGGUGGAAUUCGGUUUGGAGCUGUCUGAUGGAUCUGGAGAGGAGCUUGAAGAGGACUGGAAGAAUAAGCAGAACAAUUACUAGUCUCGGCAUCUGCAGGCAUUUUGUCUCCUCUUCCGUUUGUUGGAUGGACCUCUCUGGUGGCCAACGAGCAUCAUUAUCUGUAUGGGAGAAAACACAAACAUGCCCUUGUCCCCAUAUGAGGAUGGGAUCUGGUCUUUUCCAGGACCCUGACAGGGGGUCUUUCCAUUUAACCAGUGCAUAUCUACUGUUAGUUGUAGUUUUUUAGAACUUAUCACUGGCAGAUUUUCUUUGUGUGUCCAAAUUUAAAAUAUUAAUGGUAAAGAGUGCUCUAUUAAGAAUGUUGUGUGGAGUCUGUGGUCCUGUCUCCCUCUUUUUAUUUUUCAAAACACAUGAAUUGUCUGUUUUAGUGUUUUAUUAGCAUGUUUAAUGAUGGCCUGUCUUUGAGGAGGACCCAUCAGUAAAGACUACUAAGGCUGUUGGAAUCAGCUGAGAUUUUGUUA